rnacentral:rRNA from 1 species
CUGCGGAAGGAUCAUUACCGAGUUUUCGAGCUCCGGCUCGACUCUCCCACCCUUUGUGAACGUACCUCUGUUGCUUUGGCGGCUCCGGCCGCCAAAGGACCUUCAAACUCCAGUCAGUAAACGCAGACGUCUGAUAAACAAGUUAAUAAACUAAAACUUUCAACAACGGAUCUCUUGGUUCUGGCAUCGAUGAAGAACGCAGCGAAAUGCGAUAAGUAAUGUGAAUUGCAGAAUUCAGUGAAUCAUCGAAUCUUUGAACGCACAUUGCGCCCCUUGGUAUUCCGGGGGGCAUGCCUGUUCGAGCGUCAUUACAACCCUCAAGCUCUGCUUGGAAUUGGGCACCGUCCUCACUGCGGACGCGCCUCAAAGACCUCGGCGGUGGCUGUUCAGCCCUCAAGCGUAGUAGAAUACACCUCGCUUUGGAGCGGUUGGCGUCGCCCGCCGGACGAACCUUCUGAACUUUUCUCAAGGUUGACCUCGGAUCAGGUAG